rnacentral:lncRNA from 1 species
AAAAAAGUAUUUUUAUUGGCAAAAAACCACUGUUAUUAGGAAAAAAAUGUUUUGUUUGUUUAAUAAUUAGCUUGGAAAAUUGACGUUUGAAAAGUCAUGUGGGUCGGUGGGAAUGUCACAUAUUAUCUGCGUCAAUGAAUAUUUUCUUACAAAUUGUGAGCAGUAACCUCCACACGAUGAAACCUGGUUGAUAGUUUUAGCAGGUUCAAUGGUUGGCCUUUCGAUAGCUGAAUAUCUAAAUCUAGUUGGAUCUCUGUAAGCAUUUCUUAGAUCGGUUACUUCUGGUUUGAUGGGAGCCCCGAUAGGAGAAUCAACAGCUGCCAUAAGUGUUUUGUAAUGAGCUAUAGGUAAUCCUGAAAAAAAGAAUCUUUCAUUU